AGUGAACGCUGGCGGUAGGCCUAACACAUGCAAGUCGAACGGCAGCACAGUAAGAGCUUGCUCUUACGGGUGGCGAGUGGCGGACGGGUGAGGAAUACAUCGGAAUCUACUUUUUCGUGGGGAUAACGUAGGGAAACUUACGCUAAUACCGCAUACGACCUACGGGUGAAAGCAGGGGAUCUUCGGACCUUGCGCGAUUGAAUGAGCCGAUGUCGGAUUAGCUAGUUGGCGGGGUAAAGGCCCACCAAGGCGACGAUCCGUAGCUGGUCUGAGAGGAUGAUCAGCCACACUGGAACUGAGACACGGUCCAGACUCCUACGGGAGGCAGCAGUGGGGAAUAUUGGACAAUGGGCGCAAGCCUGAUCCAGCCAUACCGCGUGGGUGAAGAAGGCCUUCGGGCUGUAAAGCCCUUUUGUUGGGAAAGAAAAGCAGCAGGUUAAUACCCCGCUGUUCUGACGGUACCCAAAGAAUAAGCACCGGCUAACUUCGUG
rnacentral:rRNA from 1 species